AUGGGAUCCCCAAAAUCCGGGAAUUCAGGGCUUUUCCCGGGAUUGGGGAAUCCCCAAAAUCCCUUGGGAAAAUCCCUUGGGGAAUUCCCGGGAUCUCAUUCCCGUUUUUUCUUUUCCAGCUUCUCCUGCUGGGAAUUCCGGACCCCGGAGCGCAAACGGCUCCGAGCCCUUCCCGAGCCCCCGGCCCGGAAUUCCCACCAGGAAAACCGGGAGGAGGAGGAGGAGGAGGAAGCUUUUCCCGGGAAAUCGGCGCGUUCCCUGAGAUUGGACAUCCCGGCGGGAAAUUUGGGAAUUCCCGGGAAUUCCCAGCCCGGCUCCACCUCUUCCCACAAUUCCCAACUUCCCGUGGGGGCUUUUUAUGGGAAAAGGAUUUACCUGGAUCCUCUGGAGAGGAAACGGCUCCGGGAGCUGCUGGGAGAUGGCAACAGCACGGAAAAACCUGGGAAUUCUGGGAAUCCCGGCGGGAAUUCUGGGAAUCCCGGCAGGAAUCCCAGCAGGAAUUCCAGCGGGAAUCGCAGCUCCAAAAGCAAACCCAAUCCCAAGGCCCGGCGGGAGAUUCCCAAAGGGAAAAGCAGCGGGAACGCCGGGAAUUCCCGGAGUUCCGAGGCUGGGAGUUCCCAAAAUUCCCGGAUUUCCCAGAAUUCCCGGAAUUCUGAGCGAUUCCGGGUGCUGAGCGCGGGCGUGCGGCCGCCGCUGCGGCUCCCACUGGGCUCCGCCUUCUUCCUGAGCGGGAAGAGAUCCCGGAAAAACCCCGGGAAUUCUUCCGGGAAAAGCUCGGGAGACUCCGGAGCCGCCUCCAGGGAUCCUUCGGAAAAGGCGUGGCCCGGGCCGGAAAAAGCGGGAGAGGCGGAAAAAGCGGGAGAGGAAAGCGCGGGAAGGAUUCCAGAGGCUCAGGAAGAGGAGAAGGAAAACCGGGAAUGCUCCGGAGAGCCGGGAACGGCCGGGAACGGCACCCGGAAUUCCGAGGGGAAGGAGGUGAGAGCAGGGAUUGGGGAGAAUUCCAGGGAAUUCCCGGAUUUCACCCUCGGGAAGGGCUCAGAGGGACCCAGAGAGGGAAUUUCCUUGGGAAUUCCAGGGAGGUUCCUUUGGGGAUUCCCUUGGGAUUUUCCUUUGGGUUUUCUGGGGGAAUCCUUGGGAAUUCCUUGGGAAUUCUCUUGGGAUUUUCCUUGGGAAUUCCUUUGGGAUUUUUGGGGGGAUUCCCUUGGGAUUUUCCCUUGGGAUUCCCGGGGGAUUCCUUGGGAAUUUUUUGGGGAUUUCCCUUUC
rnacentral:lncRNA from 1 species